rnacentral:lncRNA from 1 species
CCGACGAGGACCACCACAUCAACAAGCAUAACUUCCGGAUCCCUUUCGUCUGCGGCUGCCGGAACCUCGGGGAGGCUCUGAGGAGGAUCCGCGAAGGUGCGGCGAUGAUCAGGACGAAAGGCGAGGCUGGGACUGGGAACAUCGUGGAGGCGGUGAGGCAUGUGAGGUCUGUUAUGGGUGACAUCAGGGUUUUAAGGAACAUGGAUGACGACGAGGUCUUCACUUUCGCCAAGAAGCUAGCUGCUCCUUACGAUCUCGUGAUGCAGACCAAACAGCUCGGCCGUCUUCC